rnacentral:lncRNA from 12 species
UAAAACUCACCAUCUGACCCCCACUAACCCCUCCUUCUUCUUCACAGAAAUGCUAACCUUAUCUUUUAUUUAUUCAUUUUUUUAAAGUAGCCUCCACACCCAGUGUGGAGCCCAGCGUGAAGGUUGAACUCACAAUCUCUGAGCUGAGAGCUGAGCUGAGAUCAAGAGUCGGAUACUUAGCUGCCUGAGCCACCCAGGCAUCCCUAACCUUAUCUUUUAGAGAUAAACCGCAGGAAGAGCCAAGAUAGUUUGAGCGCAACCACAUACAUACCUGCACAGAUGGACUGUGGCUUGUCAGACAGUUACCUCUAUUUCAUUGUAAUGUCAAAAUCUUUGCCCAAGGAGGAGCAUGAGCUUCAGUAAUGUAACAUAGGAUGCAUGUGUGGGCAUGUCUCCUGCCAGCUUUUACGUGUGGUGAGUAUAUGCCUCUUUCUGGAUAUUCAUCCUAACCCUAAAUAAAAGGAACCAUUCACCUUGGCUCAAGGAGCCAGGGCUUUGGAAGUUAUUCCCUAUGAUCUUUUUAUUUGCUGCAAAUAAAGUUUCCUCUGUGUGACAAGUUCACCUGGCAUAGUCUCUAUCUAUAAUUCACUAAGGAGUAAAAUUCACGUUAGUUCAGUUACACACCUAGUCUAGAUCCUUCUUCAAAUGAGCUAAUUGUGAAAAGAGAUCUUUGAGACAAUCUAGGACAUUUGAGUACAUACCUGGUAUCAACUGAUAUUAAAUAAUUCCUGUUAAUUUUGUUAAGUGCAAUAAUAGCGUGACUCUUGUUAAAAGAAAACCUGUAUUAAUGUGAGAUGCAUAAUGCGCAGGUGGUGAUGGGUGAUAUGCCAUGAUAUCUAAUAUUUGUUUUGACACGUCCCCCCCACACAGAAAUCACUGAGCCUUCGCUAUAUGUGGUUCCUAAGUGGGGUGUCUCUCGACUGGAAGGGGGGCGGUGAUCAGAUGGAAGCUCAUGGUGCAAGGGUGGAGGGGUGGUAAGAGAAUUCACCUGAGACAGAACAAAGGAGAUAGAAUUUUACUGAAUACAUCACAAGGAAGUGGCCAGCGGGACAGCAGAGGAGAGGUUGUCUGCAAGGAGGCAAGAUUGGCACCUGCUCCCCAGCUGUCACUUAUGGAUUUUCCAGAAAGAACCAGCCCUAGCAACCUGCCAUCAGAUGAGUCACUUAAGCAUUUGAAUCCAAUUUCUUUCUCAGGGUCUACAAAUUCCGUGUAGAGAUAUACGUAGUAUUUGGAUAUUCUGCUACUUGUUUCAUGAUGCUUGCUCCAGGAAGGGACAGGAUUACAGACUACGUGGUUCUCACAUGACUGCCAACUACACAUGGAAUAGAGGUCAGACACAAAGGCAAUGAGUAGGCUGACAGGUAAAUUUUUGUGUAUGGUCUGGCUCAAAUAAACGAGCUACACCAAUCA